rnacentral:rRNA from 1 species
AUUGAACGCUGGCGGCAGGCUUAACACAUGCAAGUCGAGCGGAGAGAGGUAGCUUGCUACCGAUCUUAGCGGCGGACGGGUGAGCAAUGCUUAGGAAUCUGCCUAUCAGUGGGGGACAACAUUUCGAAAGGAAUGCUACUACCGCAUACGUCCUACGGGAGAAAGCAGGGGAUCUUCGGACCUUGCGCUAAUCGAUGAGCCUAAGUCGGAUUAGCUAGUUGGUGGGGUAAAGGCCUACCAAGGCGACGAUCCGGAGCGGGUCUGAGAGGAUGAUCCGCCACACUGGGACUGGGACACGGCCCAGACUCCUACGGGAGGCAGCAGUGGGGAAUAUUGGACAAUGGGCGCAAGCCUGAUCCAGCCAUGCCGCGUGUGUGAAGAAGGCCUUAUGGUUGUAAAGCACUUUAAGCGAGGAGGAGGCUACUUUAGUUAAUACCUAGAGAUAGUGGACGUUACUCGCAGAAUAAGCACCGGCUAACUCUGUGCCAGCCGCCGCAGUAAUAC